ACUGCUCAGUAACACGUGGAUAACCUGCCCUACACUGGGGGAUAAUCUCGGGAAACUGAGCAUAAUACCCCAUAGACCACUACGCCUGGAACGGUGAGUGGUUCAAAGCUUCGGCGGUGUAGGAUGGGUCUGCGGCGUAUCAGGUCGUAGGGGGUGUAAUGGACCUCCUAGCCAUCGACGCGUACGGGUUGUGGGGGCAAUAGCCCGGAGACGGAUUCUGAGACACGAAUCCGGACCCUACGGGGUGCAGCAGGCGCGAAAACUUCACACUGCAGGAAACUGUGAUGAGGGAACUCCAAGUGACUGCACAAUGUGUAGCCUUUUCAUGAAUCUUAAUAGUUCUUGGAAUAAGGGCUGGGAAAGACCGGUGCCAGCCGCCGCGGUAAUACCGGCAGCUCAAGUGGUCGUCGCUUUUAUUGGGCCUAAAACGUCCGUAGCCUGUUUGGUAAAUCUGUGGGUAAAUCAACUAGCUUAACUAGUUGAAUUCUGCAGAGACUGCCAGACUAGGAACCGGGAGAGGUGUGGGGUACUCAAGGGGUAGGGGUAAAAUCCUGUCAUCCUUUGAGGACCACCAGUUGCGAAGGCGCCACACUAGAACGGAUUCGACGGUCAGGGACGAAGCCUAGGGGCACGAACCGGAUUAGAUACCCGGGUAGUCCUAGGUGUAAACGCUGUGAACUUGGUGUCGGGAGUCCGCAAUGGGCCCCCGGUGCCGGAGUGAAGAUGUUAAGUUCACUGCCUGGGGAGUACGGUCGCAAGGCUGAAACUUAAAGGAAUUGGCGGGGGAGCA
rnacentral:rRNA from 1 species